CGCGCGGGCCCCUGCUGGCCGCGCGGCCCCGGCCUGCCGCCCUGCGCUGCGUGCUGUACGCGUAACGUGAGACCCACUUUCCUGCUAAACUUCAUGUUUCAGACAGCCGAGCUGCGUAAACUAAUUCUCUGUGCAGGAGAUGAGGAGCACAAAGCUGAGCCACGGGCCCAGGCCACGGAAGGGGAGCUCUCUGUGGCCACACUGACUGGUUCCAGUUCCACAGAACAACUACCCACCCUUGCACUGACAGACAGCACCUCUCCAGAUGGAGUGGCAGCUCUCCAGUUAACCCAGAAAGGACACAUUCCCGAUUUCCUCUCUGCACAGCAUUUCCCUGCACUCUUAACAGCACCUGCAGCUGGUUUCAAGCUGACAUCUGGACAAGACACAGCUCUUUGACGCUGGUAUGACCCACAUACUAAUUUAAGUAGAUGACUGCCUCCUAUUCAGGAAACACCAUCACUGAAAAUGGGCACCAGAUGCAAACACCACCUUCAGGUAUGAAGCAGCCUUUUAAAUAAACCUCAGCUACAGUGUCUGCAAGCUUCUUACUGUGAACAAAGUAGCCUAAGGAUUUGGAUAUAGAAAUUGUCAUAAUUUUCAUUCAUUGGUCUAAUAUAAAAGGAUAAAUCUGCCAAGCGCUUCAUCACUUUUCUUUUCUAGGCACAGGCAACUCCAUACACAUCCCUGAGCUUAUUCAGAGUGGUGUGUAACAUCCCUGAAAAGGUUCUGGUUAGAACUAGAAUUUUGGCUUUAAGUGCUUAAAAUUUGAAGCAGCUUAACUGAAGUUAUGAGGUCUUCAUUCUUACAGCAAAGUCUGAGUUCUGCAUGCACCAGAAACUGCCUUCUUCCUGAACUCAACUGUUCACUUAGUGUGCAAAGGGACAAAAUGGAUGCAGGAUUUUACAGCUGCUUGACGACAGAUGUCUCUGACCUGGAAAGUUGGUUAUUAAAAUUUAAUUUAUUGAUGUGAUAUUUCAGUAAUCUAAGUCAGCACCUGAAACACUCACCUGUUUAAGGAAAUCACAGCUGUGAAUAGUAGGCUGACAACAGUUUACGGAAAAUAAGAGUAGGAAUGGGGACUCCUAGAUAACCAGGACACAGUCUCCAAAAGACAACUGGGAGUGAAAGCUUCCAAAUAGACCUUUAUUGCAACACAGAGUUGACAACAUGUUUUUGAAUUUAAUAGAAAGUAUUUGGUCUCUUGGUGGUGAAGCGUGGUUUGUGCUGGCGACGCAGAACUCUGUGUGGCAGCGGGAACUUGAUUUUAGAAUCCUGCAAGAAAAAUGUUUCUAUAUUAAUUGAGGUAUCAGAUGAACAACAGAAAAUAGUUUGGAAAAAGCAGCCAAGCUGUAUUCAGUGACUACCUUAUGCUUAGAGAAGUAAUAAUCUACAAAUUAAGAUAUACUUCACAGGACUUAAAUUCAUUAAUUUUGCAUUCUUUUUUCAAAGUAAUGUCAGUCAGAGGCAUGUUUUCUGUACCACAACAUGUAUUUGCUUUAUUCUGACUUUCUUCCAAGUACUUGUAGCAGCAGAAGUCUUGAUCAUAAUAUACCAUAAUCAUGAACAUAUGCACCCAAGUUUGGUUCCUGCCCUAUUUCUGGCUGCAAAGCAAACCUUUACCACACAAGAGAGAUCCUCUCUUCCAAUCCAACAUUGGACCAGGACCCACCAGCCAGUGUUGGCUCACUUACAUGGAACUGCUUGACUGCUGGUCUGCGGCACUUGCUGGCAGCAAUUUCCUCAACCUUCAUGAUCUGGAUAGAGUGAGCACGGGCACGAUGACGGGCUCCCAUAUCACGGUCUAGAACAACAGAACUCAUUAAAAAGGAAUUUUAUGACA